rnacentral:rRNA from 1 species
CGCCUGUUUUAACAAAAACAUAGUUUAAAGAAAGAAAUUUUAGAUAGAUUCUGCUCAAUGAUAAACUUAAAUAGCUGCAGUAAAUUAACUGUACUAAGGUAGCAUAAUAAAUUGCUUUAUAAUUGAAAGCUUGAAUGAAGGAAACAAUGAAAAACAAACUUUUUAAUCUAAAAAAGUAAAAAUUAGUAUUUAAGUGAAAAAUCUUAAAUUAAAUCAAAAGACAAGAAGACCCUUUAGAACUUUACAAGCCUCAUCAUCUUAACUGGAUUGUCUUGUUAAAUUGGGGAGAUUUUUAAAUAAAUAAAUCUUUAAAUAUAAUAAGAUGAUAUACUUCAAAUUAAAUUAUCCACGUAUGAACUAAAACAAGUUACCUAAGGGAUAACAGCGCAAAAUUUUUGAGAAGAUCUUAUUCACAAAAUACAUUGCGACCUCGAUGUUGGAUUAAGAAUAACUUAUAGAGAAAAAUUUAUAAGAAUUGGUCUGUUCGCCCAAGUGAGUCUUACAUGAUCUGAGUUCAAACCGG